rnacentral:misc_RNA from 1 species
UGCAAAACAAUUGAAUUCAUAGAACAUUUAAACUUGAUAGUCUCCAUUCCAAAUAACAAAAGGUAAAGCCGGUUAGAUGAUCAGCAUAUAUAGCAAUACCUAAGGAGGACAAAACAAAGAAAGAUGCCUGUCAAACGCCCCGAAAGGAAUUAUACAUAUAUAACAAAACAAAGUAAUAAUCUUUCAUACAUAAAACUCAAAAAUCCCUUUCCCAUGCUCCUCUAAUUUAAACCAGCUGUCCUAACUGGCAGUUGCUCCUGCAGGAGCAGGGGUAUACCAGCCGUGGUGAAUCUCUACCGCCUUUUUUCUCCUAGCAAGUCGCGACUUUCUACGCGCUCCAGUAUUUCUAUGCAAUGUUCCCACUUUUACAGCCUUAUCAAUGACUGAGUAUGCCUCUGCAAUUAGUUUUUCAAUGGGAAGGACCUCCUCUGCUUGUGCAUCGGGUUUCUUCCUCAAAUCAUCUAAUGCUUCCAACACCUUCUUCAUGCGGGUUCCAAUUUCAGACUUGCGUGCUUUAUUGUAAAUCCGCCUUUUCUCAGCUUGGCGAGCUCUCUUUUCUGCAGAAUCAGCUUUUUUAUUUGGAGCCGCUUCACAAACGAUUAAAUGCCCAAUUGGCCUUCUAACUCUGCUCAUUGACAAGCACCCUAAAAAACAAAUCCACGAAAACCAUUGAUCUAUAUAACAAUCGGACAAAAACCCACUUAACAACAUAUAGAUAGGUUAAAGUGGUUCCUUCCCCAUGACAAUAUACAACGAACAGAUUUCGUAUUUCUCGGAAGCCAAACAAAGCAAGUGGAUACAUGCACUUCACUGGGUUCUUGUAGAAGAGACAUGAUAAGAUAAUUGUAAGGCAAUUGAGAGAGGGAGAGAUGAGAAAGGGCCAUUACUGCAAUACCUUCGUUGAACACAUCGUGAGAGAGAGCGGAGGAGAAACUGAGAGACCUGAAAGUGGGACAAUGAGAAGAAGAAGAAGAAGAAGCAGAGCAAGUGCUAUUGAAGGAGAUGUUCUUGAGCUUCGUAGGAAGGGCUAAGCACGAAGAUAAAACAGCAGCUGCCAUAUCUGCCUAUCUCCCUGUGGUACAAACUGGAGCUCUUGCAGAACGCUAUUCUGUGGAGUUUCCGCUCAUCCAGGGAGGUGUAGAUGAACUCGCGUCAAGCGGAUAGAAUGGCCCUGUCACAAUCUCAUUAUGAAGUUGUUUGGAUGCGACUAUAAAG